rnacentral:rRNA from 1 species
AAUGUGAGAUGCAGUGUAUGGAAUGUCAAAUUUCUAGUAUGAGAAAUUAACGAUUUAAGUCCUUCUUAAAUGAGGCCAUUUACCCACAGAGGGUGSYAGGCCCGUAUAMCGUUAAUGAUUACUAGAUGGCAUUUCCAAAGAGUCGUGUUGCUUGAUAGUGCAGCACUAAGUGGGUGGUAAACUCCAUCUAAAACUAAAUAUAACCAUGAGACCGAUAGUAAACAAGUACCGUGAGGGAAAGU